AAGGGUUUGUUUUUUAGAAAAAGCAGAAAGCGUGUAGAGGUAAAACAUUUAAAAUAAAUAGAAUUUUUUUAGUAAUAGUGCAAUAUUAAAAGAAGAAAAAGAAUUUUUUAUGUGAAGACAAUUUAUUUUUUUUCUUUAACACGAAGGUUCUGGGAGCGAACAGGAUUAGAGACCCUGGUAGUCGAUACAGUAAAAGAAAGUCGCUUGAGUAGUACGGUCGCAAGAUUAAAAUUCAAAAAACUUGGCUGUUCAUUGUUAUUUAGAGGAGCGUGUUGCUUAAUUCGAUAAUCCGCGAGUUACCUUACCAAAACUAGCUUUUACAGGUGUUG
rnacentral:rRNA from 1 species